GGGUGAUCGCUGGUCGGCCUGGACUCAUUGGGCCGAAGGGCCUGUUUCCCUGCUGCAUCUCGAAAGUGUAAAGCCUUCAUUAGUUUUGAGAAGGUAAAUAUAUACUGAGGUUUGCUAAACUGAAAAAGCCUUCAACUAAAUUUUCAGUGCCAUUAUAAGUUAGACUGAGAUGGCUGGCCUCAUACAAUGAGAAAGCAUUAUAUCAUGCACAGGUUCAAUUUCUAAUAUUAAAAGUAAAAUGACAAACAAUAGAGACAGAUUUUGGGAAUCACUGACAAAUCUGGAAAGUACACCAAUAUUUGUCAUUUUACCGAAUUUACCCCUUUAUAUAUAUUAACAUUUGAAUAGUUCACCAUAAAGGUCAGUUUUAGACAUAAUGGGCAAAAGGACGGCUUCUGGCGUUGUGUCAAUCUGAUUAAUUUUAACUCCCAAUUUUUAUGUUUGGUGUUCAUAAUCAUUGGGUUCCAUCCAGUGUGCACAGUAUCUGCGUCUCUGUUACUACCGAUCAUUUACGGAUCAAUAUUUUUCAAGGGAAGUAUUUAAAAUACAUCAAAGCAAAUUGGUAGAGCGUUGGUGAAUUCAUUUUAGCUUGAUACCAAGUAACUACAUUUGGGAAAUUGAAAGGGUUGUUAAUACAGCGACUUUGUUGUUCCGUGGUACAACUGUUUUGUGAAUUCAUGUGCAAGGAAGUAAACGUUUCUAUUAAUAUUUAGGAUACUAUUAUUUAUGAGGGAAUAAAACUUUAAAUCACAAACAGAAGAACAUUCUCGUGUUUUAUACCUUCUGGCCAAAGUACAGCAAGUGAAUAUGUAAACUGAGCAAUAGUUAAGCUGUUUGACUUCUCCAAUGCUUCCAAUGUCAACAACUAUUCUGUUGAUGGUUGACCUGCCGCCAGUGCACUGAUGAUCACAUUGGCAGCAUAUCUCCCAACAGCUUCAGGAUGGAUGACCUUAAUUCUGACAACGCGCUGCUAAACGCACAGUUGGUUCAGUACAGGGAGGUGCUAAACCAGAUCCUGUCUUUGUAGGAUAAUCAGUUGAAGGAGUUGUUGCAAAAUCAACAAUAGCAAAUUAAGCAUCUUGAGAAUGAGAAAUCCAUCUUCAAAGAGCAAUGGAUAGUUGUACAAAGACCGCUUAAACAAAGUCCCUUAAAGAUCCCUUAAACAAACUAAUCUAAAACAAAGUAAUGAAGGCCGAAACCCCUUGAAGAAACUGAAUUUGAAAAUCUCAAGGUACUAAAGAUGAAGUCAUGACAUUGCUCAUUGGUAGGACUUGUUCCUCAGGAUGCAUAUGAUGACUAAAUAUUUGUGUAUUUAUUUAUUUUUUAAUUUAAAAGAUUCCAAGAUGGACACAGCAAAGAUAUGUUGUAAUCUUGUUUUGCAUUCAUGUGUGUAUAAACAUUGAGCACUAUUUUCAUUUUGCAGGAAAAUGAAGAACUGGAAGCAACACAGCAGGAGCGCACAGAGGAAGAUCCGUCCUCCAGCAAGACGGAAUUGCCUGACCUAAGACCAGCGCCCAGGAAGUACAGCAUCAGUCUGGCGUCAUUCGAGGAAUGCGAGGAGGAUUUGGAGAUAGACCCCAGUGAAGAGGUGGUGGUGGUACGGAAGGCGAAGAGGCGAGUGAAUUUUUUCAAGCGCCUAUUUACGGCUAGAAAAUGAAGACUUCACGGACCAGGUCACGCUACUUGGUCUUGGCGUACUUUGCGACACCACAUUUGCCUAGUUUACGUGUGCCUGGCGAGACGUUUGUAGAUGCACUACAGAUGGGAAUGACACCAAUGUAUUUAUCAAAGUUGUUAAUGUGUUAAACACUGACCUCGGGUGUAUAAAUGAAUACUGUAUUGUUCAUGUAUGAAAAGUAUGAACGCAGCUCCCAGCGAUGCAUGUUGGUGUUGAACCGGCCGACCCCUGUACGGAGCCGAUUCAGGGCGACCCACUCUUUGCAGGGCAUGUCCGAGCCAGGUGGGGCUGUGGUGUUUGGUGCAACAGUGAAUUGAAGAGGUCGGGAAGUCUGUUCCCAGCUGGUUCUCCAAGCUCCUAGUGUGUUGAAACCGGAGCCACAGAGGGUGGCUGCGUGACGGGAGAAGUGGCGACGAGAUGACAGGCGUUGAGGUCCCAGUUGCUGUGAGUCCUGGGCGAGGUGGUGCAAAGGAUGUUUGGUGUCCGAUGGGGCCUUGCACACCAGCCUGUUGGUGAAGUACUCUCUGCGAAGCUUGGCGGGUGUGAUACCUGCGAGCACUGGCAGAAGAUCCGGAGUAGGACGUAGGCAGCCGGUGAUGAUCCGCAUGGUGUCGUUGAGGAUGGCGUCUAGUUUGCUUGUAUGAGCGCUGCGGCAUCGUGCUGGGGCGGUGUACUCAGCGGCACUGUCAAGUCUUCUAAUGUUUUUGCAGAUUCCCCGCGUGAAAGGGAUUUGAUUUAUCUACCCCGAAAUGAUGAACUGGAUUCACUCAGACCAAACACUUCUUUUCCACCUUUUAUUUUCUCUUCCUUUUAUUUUGGAAGAUUAGUCUUUAACAGUUUUAAGUCUUUACCAGGUGAAAAACCUUUAGACACAAAGGUAAAAAAUAUACACAUUACUGUAACCAAAUAUAAAUAACAGAAAAUUACAUGUAUCUAACAUUCCAACUCAUAGCAGCCAUUUUGUUUUUUAAAUAAUUUUCACAUUUCAUUAAAUGAAAAAUACAGAUAAUGCCCACUACUGUUACCAAUUUUUUAGCUUAAUAUCAUGUGAAUCUUUACUGUUUUUUAACACAUUUUAUCAUAUUUUUUAAAAUGCAAUUAUUUAAACUAACACCACACAUAGCAUAUAAGUAUUAGAAAUGAGCUCACAUUAGCCCUUAACCCCACAAUGAAGCAGGAUGCACUUUACAUAGACAACAAACACUAUCAUCACCCUGUCAUCUUGGUUAACAAACACCACCAAUAUUUCAAACUUUCUCAAUCAACACGUUAGUCAGACAAGUUUCUCAGAUAUUAAAGGGUUAAACAGAGUCUCUGGGGCUGCAGUCUUCGGCUCAGUUCAUUUAGAGUU